AUUUCUGCUUGUAACAGCAACUCAUUUUUAGCGAGAAAUAAUUGAAUAAGCUCAAAGACCCUAAGAUCGGGGUGCUGAGAAGAGCCCAGGCAGCACAACAUGAGGACAGUGCUUUUCUUAUAAGAAAAGGGAAGAGAUAAAAAAGAUGGACAGAAAACAACAUAGAUGAUUUGGCAAAAUGAGAUAGAGGAGGAACUGUCUUCCAUAUGGGGAUAUACCAGUGAAGUCAGACCACAUUAACAGCAACAAAAAUC
rnacentral:lncRNA from 1 species